rnacentral:rRNA from 1 species
GACAGAGGGUGCAAACGUUGCUCGGAAUUACUGGGCGUAAAGGGCGUGUAGGCGGGAAGGCAAGUCGGGCGUGAAAGCCCCAGGCUCAACCUGGGAACUGCACUCGAAACUGCCUUUCUUGAGUGCCGGAGAGGAAAGCGGAAUUCCUGGUGUAGAGGUGAAAUUCGUAGAUAUCAGGAGGAACACCAGUGGCGAAGGCGG